rnacentral:rRNA from 1 species
UCUAGUAGCUGGUUCCCUCCGAAGUUUCCCUCAGGAUAGCUGGUGCAUUUUAAAAUUAUGUAAAAUAAUCUUAUCUGGUAAAGCGAAUGAUUAGAGGCCUUAGGGUCGAAACGACCUUAACCUAUUCUCAAACUUUAAAUGGGUAAGGACCUCACCUUUCUUGAUAUGAAGGUUGAGGCUAUGAUAUAAUGUGCCCAGUGGGCCACUUUUGGUAAGCAGAACUGGCGCUGUGGGAUGAACCAAACGUUAUGUUACGGUGCCCAAAUUAACAACUCAUGCAGAUACCAUGAAAGGCGUUGGUUGCUUAAAACAGCAGGACGGUGGACAUGGAGGUCGUAAUCCGUUAAGGAAUGUGUAACAACUCACCUGCCGAAGCAACUAGCCCUUAAAAUGGAUGGCGCUUAAGUUGUAUACCUAUACAUUACCGCUAAAGUACAUGAUUUAUUAUAUAUAUAUUUAUAUAUAUAUAUAAGUUUUGAAACUUUAGUGAGUAGGAGGGUACAAUGGUGUGCAUAGAAGUGUUUGGCGUAAGCCUGCAUGGAGCCGCCAUUGGUACAGAUCUUGGUGGUAGUAGCAAAUAAUCGAAUGAGACCUUGGAGGACUGAAGUGGAGAAGGGUUUCGUGUGAACAGUGGUUGAUCACGAGUUAGUCGGUCCUAAGUUCAAGGCGAAAGCUGAAAAUUUUCCAGUUUUAAUAUAUAAAAAAGAAAUUACGAAAAAAAAAUUAAUAAAAUUUUUGUAUAAAUAUUUCUUGAAGUAAUUGAACACUUGGAAUAUUUUUGAACGAAAGGGAAUACGGUUCCAAUUCCGUAACCUGUUGAGUAUCCGUUUGUUAUUAAAAAUGGGCCUUGUGCUCAUCCUGGCAACAGGAACGACCAUAAAGAAGCCGUCGAGAGAUAUCGGAAGAGUUUUCUUUUCUGUUUUAUAGUCGUACUACCAUGGAAGUCUUUCGAAGAGAGAUAUGGUAGAUGGACUAGAAGAGCAUGACAUUUACUGUUGUGUCGAUAUUUUCUCCUCGGACCUUGAAAAUUUAUGGUGGGGUCACGCAAACUUCUCAACAGGCCGUACCGAUAU